rnacentral:rRNA from 1 species
UACGUAGGGUGCAAGCGUUAAUCGGAAUUACUGGGGCGUAAAGCGUGCGCAGGCGGUUAUGUAAGACAGAGGUGAAAUCCCCGGGCUCAACCUGGGAACUGCCUUUGUGACUGCAUAGCUAGAGUACGGUAGAGGGGGAUGGAAUUCCGCGUGUAGCAGUGAAAUGCGUAGAUAUGCGGAGGAACACCGAUGGCGAAGGCAAUCCCCUGGACCUGUGACUGACGCUCAUGCACGAAAGCGUGGGGAGCAACAGG